GACGAACGCUGGCGGCGUGCCUAACACAUGCAAGUCGAGCGGGAACCUCAGGAGGGGUAACCCUUCUGAGGGGAGAGUGGCGAACGGGUGAGAAACACGUGGGCAACCUGCCCCGGACACCGGGAUAACCCAGGGAAACCUGAGCUAAUACCGGAUACUCCGGCGUGAUCGCAUGGUCGCGCCGGGAAAGCUCCGACGGUCCGGGAUGGGCCCGCGGCCUAUCAGCUUGUUGGUGGGGUAACGGCCCACCAAGGCGACGACGGGUAGCUGGUCUGAGAGGACGGCCAGCCACACUGGGACUGAGACACGGCUCAGACUCCUACGGGAGGCAGCAGUGGGGGAUCUUGCGCUAAUGCGCGAAAGCGUGACGCAGCGACGCCGCGUGGGGGAUGAAGGCCCUCGGGUUGUAAACCCCUUUCGGCAGGGACGAAGGGAAACUGACGGUACCUGCAGAAGAAGUCCCGGCUAACUACGUGCCAGCCGCCGCAGUAAUAC
rnacentral:rRNA from 1 species